AUACGGAGGGUGCGAGCGUUAUCCGGAAUUACUGGGUUUAAAGGGUGCGUAGGCGGCCUGGUAAGUCAGGGGUGAAAGUCCAGGGCUUAACCGUGGGAUUGCCUUUGAUACUGCUGGGCUUGAAUGAGGUUGAGGUGGGCGGAAUGUGGCAUGUAACGGUGAAAUGUGUAGAUAUGCCAUAGAACACCGAUUGCGAAGGCAGCUCACUGGACCUUUAUUGACGCUGAGGCACGAAAGCGUGGGGAGCGAACAGGAUUAGAAACCCUUGUAGUCCC
rnacentral:rRNA from 1 species